rnacentral:rRNA from 1 species
AACGAACGCUGGCGGCGUGCUUAACACAUGCAAGUCGAACGAGAAAAUGUAGCAAUACAUGAGUAAAGUGGCGCACGGGUCCGUAACACGUGGGUAAUCUACCCUUAGGCGAGGGACAACCUGUCGAAAGACGGGCUAAUACCUCGUAAGACCACGGAAUCUUAGGAUUCUGAGGUAAAAGGUGGCCUCUAUUUAUAAGCUAUCACCUGAGGAUGAGCCUGCGCACCAUCAGCUUGUUGGUGAGGUAAAAGCUCACCAAGGCCUAGACGGUUAGCUGGUCUGAGAGGACGACCAGCGACACUGGAACUGAGACACGGUCCAGACUCCUACGGGAGGCAGCAGUGGGGAAUUUUGGACAAUGGGCGAAAGCCUGAUCCAGCAACGCCGCGUGAGUGAUGAAGGCCUUCGGGUUGUAAAGCUCUGUCGGAGGGAACGAAUAAAGGCCACCUAAUACGUGGCCAUAUGACGGUACUCUCAAAGGAAGCAACGGCUAACUCUGUGCCAGCCGCCGCCGUAAAAC